CAAUAAUUAUUACAUGUUCCAGUCAUUAUUAUAAGCUGCUGAAAAAGAGAAGGCCUUAGUCCUUUUGGAGCUAAUUCUUGGCAGGGAAACAGGGGUAUUCCACAUCUUAAAUUAUUUCAUAGACAUUGAUUUCUGUAAGUCUUUAUACAGGUAGCCUCAUAAAAACAUUUUUCUGGGUUAUAAAAACGUUAUAAUCUUUUCUACUUAGACUGUAUUACCAACUCAUACAUUCCACAAACACAUAUUUACAUAGUCAUUUCAACAGGAGAGACAUCAAAGGGGGUUCCAGCCCAAGAGAAAAGACAGGAGGGGCAAAAGUGAGAAUCUGUGCAGGAUGGACUGCUGAAAGAGCAGGAGCUGAGGAGGUGUGCUGAGACAAAGGAAAAUUUGUGUCAAGAAAUCUGAGAACUCAUAAUGAUCUUCCAGCUGGCUGUCAUUCUCGAAGGUGCAUCUCGCAUUAUUCUGAAUUCUGUUGUCUGCUGUAACUCAACUCCUUUUUCUUCCACUGAAGACUAUUGGAAUGCGGUAUAAUAUUGUUAGACUACAUGAAUUAUAAGAAAUGGUUUUGUGAAAAUCCCCCGUUGACAGUGAUCAUGUCAGGAAAUUACAAAAAUAAGGGCUUUCUCCCUUAUGAGGACUUAACAUUCAUGAAGUAUGCUUGCCAGGGGAAUAUUUUCAGUUUAAUAAUUUCUAAAAAUUCUAAUUUAAGGAUAGAUGGUAAGUAGAUAAGAGCUAGGUUCAUUAUAGUUCUUUAUAGUGUGACUUAAUUUCAGGUUUUUUUUUUAUUGUUUCAAACAGUUUGUGUUCACAUGUAUAAGAGGAUACAGUAAAUUCUAUAUUUUUGCAACUCCAUAGUCUGUAGCUUGCAAGCUCCUCUGUCCAUGAAAUUCUCCAGGCAAGAAUACUGGAGUGGAUACCCAUUCUCUUUUCUGGGGGAUCUUCCCAACCCAGGGAUUAAACACAGGACUUCUGCAUUCCAGGCAGAUUCUUUACCAUCUGAGCCACCUGCAAAGCCAACAUUAAAUACUAGAUAAAACAAAACCUGUAACUAUUUUCUCAGAUUCUAGAAAAUAGCACUUAAAUGACAAACCUAAGUAAUCACAAAAGAAAUGGGAAGACAGAAAGAGAACAUAUUUCUUAAAAAUAGUUGUUGGAAUACUACAUUGUGGGGUUACAUGACCAUAGAUAAUCUAUCUUUUUGGUGCAACAUUUGAUAAAAUGUUUCCUAUGAAUUCCUUAAGGUUAAAGUGUUUAAAUUUGAGUUAGAAAUAUUAUUAAGUUUUUACAUACUUACAGCAGCUUAAUCUAAGGAGUGAUGGUAAAUGACAAUUUGAAUUAUAGAGAUGUAUAAAGUAGUAUACAGAAAGUGUAUAAACAUCCCUUUGUUUCCCUAUAAAAGUUGCCCAUUUUAGAUGAUCCUUUUCAUAUAAUUUGAAUGUCUAAACAAAUGUUUUGCC
ensembl:lncRNA